GUGUCUUACCUCACUUGUGGUGUGAAGUUCUAGGUUCGUCUCUUGAAGUUGCGUCAAGCGGUUGACUCUUCAAGCGGCACCAUUGUUCUUGCCAGUUUCCUGCAUUUAAGGUAUCCCAGCUUGCAUUUGGCUGUCGACCACAGAUGAAGGGUCAGCCUUAAAGGGCACGGACAAGUGGACACUCCAUCCUGUGGAACCCUGUGUAACUUCUGUCAACAUUAUACACGAAAAGUGGUGGCAAGAACCAUUUCUCGGUGCGUGAACACAUGGGUACAGCUGGGAUAAAGAAAAUUCUUACAGCCUAGCCUUGCUAGACGCUUGCAGCUAUUCUUAUGGGACAAGGAAAACUUAUUGAGAAGUUUGAUCGGCUUGACGUGGAUCAGCGGCAGAAGGACCUAGCGCUGGAUUUUGUCAUUCGGGUAAUGUGGUGCAGCAAGUGACUCUGGAGGAUCAUUAGUUUAUUAAACUGUACGAAAUGGUCAGAGCAGAAAAUGUCACCAUACGGUGUUUGGUAAAUAGUUUACGGUGAGGGCACCCAUAAGGGAGUGAAUGGUAGACAUAUGUAAAAUAUUUAUUGUGGGAAAAGUGCUAAGAUUUGUUUUGAGAAACUUAGGUCCUGUAGUUGAUAACGGUAAAAAUAAUUGUAAAUAGAAAUGGUUAGGUGGGGGGGGGGGGGGGGUUGUAAAUAUUAGGCACGUGUUGUGCUAAUGCCAAUGAACUGUAAUGUGUGAAUGUAAAAUUUGCUAAGAGAUGUAGAAUGCAGCAGGACAAAAUAGCUUGCCUUGUUGAUAGAGCGAAAAGUACAGAGGGGUUUUGUUGAAAUGUUAAAAUUAUAGUUCACCGUAGCACUGAGGCAAUAAUCAUAUAAUAAACAAUGUUUUAUAGGUAUGAUGUAAAAUGUGCAAUCAAAGGACCUUAAAUGUUGUCAAUGUCUGUAAAAGAAUGUAUUAAAUGGUAAUAAAAAAAUAAGGAAACAUUUUAAUACUUAACUUUGUAUUUAAUAUAUGUAUUAAAUAGUAGGAAGACUCAGACCAAGCUUAGUCCAUAUGGCAUUGAAAGUAAUUAUGUGAAAUAGUAUAGUGAAAUCUUUAGCGUUGCUUGACGCUGUAAGAACAAUGUUUGUGAAUGGAUAGAUAAGAUCAUAAAAAAAUGAAUAUUGUCAAUAGUUAAAAUAUAAAGAAAUGAGUAUCGGUUCUGUAAAUAGUAGGCAGAGUAGAUAACCUCAUAUGGAGAGUUUCGGGAAACUAUGAAUUGUCAUGUAUUUAAAGAAUGGUAAGUAGGUAAAAUAGGUAAUUUGAAUGUAGUUCGUUGCGUUUUCAGUAAUAAUAGGUAGAUUAUAGAGGCGGCAUAACUUAGUGUGGCGAAUGUGAUAUUAGAAAUAGCUCAUAAACGUGUUUAGGGCCAAAUUGUUGUCAUAUGUAGGGAGGUAUGAGUGUUGUAUGAAUAAAUAGUAGGGUACAUAUGCUUUGAUAUGUUUACACAAACAUGUAAACUGUAUUCAUGAUAGGAAUGAUGGUUGAGGCACACAUAAAAGCUUCAUGUGUUGCUGUGGCCUAGUUAGUGAAUAUGGAGUGUAGCCUUGAUAUAUUAAUAAAUGUACAGAGAAUAUAGUGACUAAUGAAAUGUUAUGGCAAUAUAUUGACUAGAUAGUAGUAUAUGUACGUUAUUGAUUAGUAUUUUAUAGGUUGAAUGUAAUAUUGAUGUAGGAAGUGUUACAAUUGUACUAGCUUUGUAGAUAAGUUAUAUCCUAGUUACGUAUAGAAGAAUAGGACUUGAGUGAGUGACAAUAUAAGCGUUGUUAUGGAUAUAAUGUAAAACAUAUUGUUAAAACGGCGAUAAUGUUUGAAUGUGUUAGCAAGUACUUGUUUCAUAACUGUCCAAAGUGUGUUUUGGUUUGACUCCUAGGGCCAGAAGGACUUGUACUAUGUAACGAUGGGGACGUAAGUAAUACAAUACAAUUUUCCUCACACACAUGACAUCUAGUCUAAAAACUCCUGAGAUUGACAAUUAUUCUUCAUUCACGUAACUAUUGAAAUUUACCGGUUAUGCACAAACCAACAUGUCUUUAUUUACAUAAUACAUACAAUCAUGGCUAACUCAAUAAUUAUCAGAAGCCACCAAACCGGGAAGGCUAUGUACAAUCCUGGAUAAGAUAACUAUUUAAAGAGCCCAGCAGUCAAGAGCAACUAAAAAAAAAAACACUAUGUAAAUCCACAAUACAAUCUCAUCUAAUCACAAUCUGCCACAUGUUCAAUAUUUCCCUCUAAAGUAACUCAUACUAAAUUCCUUACCUUCCCACACGCUUACAAAUUUAAUAAAAUUAUCACUAACCAUUUUUCAGUUCUUUCUCAUUACCAUUUCUUACAUCCUAUUGUCCUUUACUUGUAUAUUUCUGGACUAUUCUUUAUAU